rnacentral:lncRNA from 1 species
UCUUGUAACAUACCGGGUUUUGAUAUAAAAGUAAAAAUAAAUAAAAAUAGUAUAAGAUACUAUUUUUAUUCGAUUUAGUGGAGUAAAAUAUAAGUCAGAAAUGAUUUAUGCCGAAAUCGGAAUGAAAACAGAAAAUUUAAAAUUUUCUAUGAGAGACGGGGCUGAUAUUUUAGCAGAAAAUACACAGUGUCGAAAAAUUAUGAAAACCGGAGAAUAUAUCAGAAUUAUUUUUAUGAGGCUAGAUUUAAAGUUUCAUAUCAUUCUGACACCCGGAAGGUGAAAAAUAAAAUCCGACUGCUAUCUGCUAGAGAUUUCAGUUCGGUAGAGCUUUCGGUGACCAAACAGGGGCGAAACUGAAAGAUUAAAAUUUCUUUCGUUAAGUUAAGUAAAACCGAGCCUGACUGUCAAAUUUGAGCUCAAACAAAUAUUGAGAAAGGCAGGCGAAAAAUAUCUGU